GACUGUUAAAAACUACGGCCCCCUGGAAGGGCUUACCCAAGAAAUAUACCAACUAUGAGGAAACUCAUUUUACGAUUUUCUGGGACAAGCUCACGGACCCAAUUGAUGCUUCCUCCAGCGUAUCACCCAAUCAGCAGCCAGCUACAAACCUGUAGUGAUAUUCAAAGUUCAUCGCUCCAGUAGAUUGCGGCUCAAACGGAUGUUUUUGAUGUAUCCCAAGAAUUUUACUACGGUACAGAACUCAACGCCAACUCAAGUUCAGAUUCGACAUCAUUUGACAAAAAGGUCAGGCUCCAGCAUGGUACAUGGCAAGCGUAAAUGAUAAGUGCAGAUAACAAUCGUAAGGUGCUGAAAAUAUGCGGACACGAUAAGGAGCCACACCUCUCAUACUUAAAAAGCUUGCUAAUCAUAUACGCAUAACAUAAGAAAAAAGGUCGA